AACACUAAUAUUUUAACAAUCCGAAGAGGGAUUCCAGGAGUGUAUCCAACCUGCUGAAGGUCCUUCCCCAGAUUCUUCCUUUCAACGCUCAGAGUGCAGUGAGUACUGGAUGAGAAGCAGGACUCCAUGAUACACUGAACAGAACGCCAGGCUGGAUUUUUAUCAGCAGAAAAAUAAACAUGCACAAGAAAGACAAGAGAGGUAUACAGAAACCAAAAGAGCAAGAAAAGUAAGUGUUUGUUGAUAUAUUGAUGGAUAAAACAGUCAAAGUUAGUAAGAAAAAAAAGUUUCAUAGUCAGCACUGCACCAAAAAUUUUUUUUUUAUGCAUUUAUUAAGAAUACGGCACAAAUCUCAACAAAAUGCUCCACCUCCCAUCAGGUCUGACCUGAGUGAGAACAACUGGAGGAAAAACUAUUUACAAGGUAAAAUAAUAAUAAUAA